rnacentral:rRNA from 1 species
UAAAGCUACUAAGAGCGUAUGGAGGAUGCCUAGGCACAUGGAGGCGAUGAAGGACGUGGUAAGCUGCGAUAAGCUUCGGGUAGGUGCAAACAACCUUAAAUCCGGAGAUUUCCGAAUGGGAAAACCCAGCCCGGGUUAUGCCGGGUUACUCCCACCUGAAUAUAUAGGGUGGGUAGAGCCAACGGGGAGAACUGACACAUCUAAGUACCCCCAGGAAGAGAAAAUACUAAUGAUUUCCCUAGUAGCGGCGAGCGAACAGGAAAGAGCCUAAACCGUUAACGUGUCAAGCCCAAGAGCGUUGCGCUAACGGUGUUGUGGGACUGGAAUAGAGUCAAUCUUGGACGACUCGACAAGUCAAAAAAUCAAUCGUUAGAUGAAGUGGUAUGGAAAGACCAGCCAUAGAAGGUGAUAGCCCUGUAAUCAAAAACGAGCGAUCUUGUUGAUUCCAGAUCCCGAGUAACACGGAACACGAGAAAUUUUGUGUGAAUCUGCCGGGACCAUCCGGUAAGGCUAAAUACUCCCAUGUGACCGAUAGUGAACUAGUACCGUGAGGGAAAGGUGAAAAGUACUCCUAGCGGAGAGUGAAAUAGAACCUGAAACCGUGCGCUUACAAGCGGUCGGAGCUCCGAUUCGUCGGGGUGACGGCGUGCCUUUUGCAUAAUGAUCCAGCGAGUUGCUCGUAUGUUGCGAGGUUAAGAUCCAAAGAUCGAAGCCAUAGGGAAACCGAGUCUGAAUAGGGCGUUUAGUAGCAUGCGGCAGACCCGAAACCGAGUGAUCUAGCCAUGGCCAGGUUGAAGUUCCGGUAACACGGAAUGGAGGACCGAACCCACCAGCGUUGAAAAGCUGGGGGAUGAGCUGUGGCUAGGGGUGAAAGGCCAAUCAAACUCGGAGAUAUCUGGUUCUCGUCGAAAUGCCUUUAGGGGCAGCGUUGUAUUAAUGUAUCGGGGGUAGAGCACUGAAUGGGCUAGGGGGCCUACAAGCUUACCAACCCCAAUUAAACUCCGAAUACCGAAUACAUGAUGUACAGCAGUGAGGCUACGGGUGAUAAGAUUCGUAGCCGAGAGGGAAACAACCCAGACCAUCAGCUAAGGUCCCUAAAUUGAUACUAAGUGAUAAAGGAUGUGGAAUCGCCCAGACAGCUAGGAGGUUGGCUUAGAAGCAGCCAUCCUUUAAAGAAAGCGUAAUAGCUCACUAGUCAAGGGGUUCUGCGCCGAUAAUUUCCGGGACUAAGUAUCAUACCGAAGCUAUGGGAUUCAUUCGAUUAGAAUGGAUCGGUAGACGAGCGUUCUAUUAACCUGCGAAGGUUGACCCGUGAGGGCAGCUGGAGGAGAUAGAAAUGAGUAUGCUGGAAUGAGUAGCGAUAAAGCCUGUGAAAUACAGGCUCGCCGUAAGCCCAAGGUUUCCUGAGUAAAGUUAAUCUGCUCAGGGUUAGUCGGACCCUAAGCCGAGGCCGAAAGGCGUAGGCGAUGGAAAACAGGUUUAAUAUUCCUGUACCAGUUUAAUAUUGUUUGAACUAUGGGGGGACGCAGAAGUGAAAGGAGAUCCCGGUUUUGAUUGUCCGGGUUUAAGUGUGUAGGGAGUUCUGGUAGGUAAAUCCGCCGGAACAUUAUCCUGAGGCACGAACAGGAGGGCCUAGCCCAUAAACUCUCCCUAAUCAUGCUGCCAAGAAAAUCCUCUAUGUUAGAUAUUAGACUGACCGUACCGUAAACGGACACACGUAGGCGAGGAGAGAAUCCUAAGGCGCUUGAGAGAAUCCAAGUAAAGGAACUCGGCAAAUUAGCCCCGUAACUUCGGGAGAAGGGGUGCCACUUGAGGAAACGGACUUCGCGUCCUGAUUUUUGAGUGGUCGCAGUGACCAGGCCCAAACGACUGUUUAACAAAAACACAGGUCUCUGCUAAGUCGUAAGACGAAAUAUAGGGACUGACACCUGCCCGGUGCUGGAAGGUUAAAUGGAGAGGUUAGCUUCGGCGAAGCUUUGAAAUGAAGCCCCAGUAAACGGCGGCCGUAACUAUAACGGUCCUAAGGUAGCGAAAUUCCUUGUCGGGUAAGUUCCGACCUGCAUGAAUGGCGUAACGAUUUCUCCGCUGUCUCCAACAUCAACUCAGUGAAAUUGAAUUCUCCGUGAAGAUGCGGAG